GGCUAAUCUAAAAGGCUUUGACAUACCCAAUCGGGUUGAAUCAGGGAGCAUUAACUCGAUUGUUGGUCAAAUUUCUUCAUCACAAUGGAGAACAUCGGAGACCAUGGAGAACAUCAGAGAACAUGGUGCAGUGAUGAUCAAUAAUACAAGUAAGGUGACUAAAGCAGUAGAGGCAAUCUGGAUUCCUCUAUUCGUUAUGUUGGUUUGUUAGGGAUGGCUAUUCUUCGGGAUCACUUCCAUCUUAUUGGAACCAAAAGACUUGUUUGUAUUUGAUUCACAGUUUCACACAGAGUUAACUACAUUAAUGUU
rnacentral:misc_RNA from 1 species